rnacentral:rRNA from 1 species
CCCUUAGAUGUCCUGGGCCACACGCGUGCUACACUGACACUUACACCGAGUUUUUCCAAUGCCGAAAGGCCAUUGGUAAUCAGCAAUAAGUGUCGUGAUGGGGAUAGAUCUUUGGAAUUAUUGAUCUUGAACGAGGAAUGCCUAGUAAUCGUAGGUCAUCAGCCUGCGAUGAUUACGUCCCUGCCCUUUGUACACACCGCCCGUCGCUCCUACCGAUUUCGAGUGGUUCGGUGAAUAACUCGGACUGUAGCAGUUCGCAGUUCCUGCGUCUGCCGCGGAAAGUUUAGUGAACCUCAGCACUUAGAGGAAGGAGAAGUCGUAACA